GGAUGAGUCUCCGGGUGGGUCAGGAGCAAACCUCCCUGACCAGUGUUCAAUGCUGGAAAAGACAAAAAUAAAGAUUCUGGAUUCUUUACUCCGCCUGACACACCUCGCACAGCGCCCGCCGAGGAGGCGCUCGGAGAAACAGCUCUGAAGCGGUUUGCUGCCCGGGGAGCAUAGCCACCCUCAGCUUGUGCGCUACCUGCCGCUGCAAUGCUCGGGAGAUUGCCACUUCCACAACUGCUUUUUGCUGCCAUCCUUGGAAUUGCUGGAGGAAUGUAUAUUUAUCAGCCAAUAUUUGAACAAUAUUCCAGAGAUCAGAAGGAAUUAAAAGAAAAGGUGAAGUUGUUGGAAGAAUCAGAAGAAAAGGGAGCUAAUUCUGCAUAAACUGAAAUUGUAAACCUUGCUUAACGUUCUAUUGAAAUCACACCGACUAUUAGUCUAGUAAGACUUUAGGUAUGCUUUAAAUAAAUAAAUCAUGGGUAAUGAAUCUAAGUUAUUUAUAAAGGUAGUUCUUGGGCUGGAGAGAUGGCUCAGCAGUUAAGAACACUGACUGUUCUUCCAGGGGUCCUAAGUUCAAUUCCCAGCAACCACAUGGUGGCUCACAACCAUCUGUAAUGGGAUCUGAUGCCCUCUUCUGGUGUGUCUGAAGACAGCAGUGUACUCAUAUACAGAAAAUAAAUAAAUCCAGACACUACAAGAGGGCAUCUGAGCCUCAUUACAAAUGGUUUUGAGCCACCAUGUGUUUGCUGGGAAUUGAACUCAGGACCUCUGGAAAAACAGUCAGUGCUCUUAACCACUGAGCCAUUUCUCUAGUCUGGCAUGUUUUUUGUUUGUUUGUUUGUUUGUUUGUUUUCAUUGUUUGCUGGUUUAGAGUAUGUCACAUAAUCUCAGACCAGGCUGAGACAUGGACUCUUGGAACCAGAUGCAUAGUCAAGUCUCAGGGCACAGAUGAAGCCCUAGGUUUCAGGACCAGCACCUCACACCCUGGGCAAAGUGAUGCAGUUGUGUGAUCCAGGCACUCAGGUGGAAGCAGGAGGAUCAGAAGUACCAGCCAUUACCAGUGACAGUGUUGUUCCCCAAUAUAGUUCAUAGACCUUCGUCACCUCCAGGUUUAUGUGUAGGAUGCCUGGUCUCCAGGGUGAUGGUAUUGAAAGCUGGUA
rnacentral:lncRNA from 1 species